GAAUGGGCACAUGCGUGCAUCAUCAGAUUAUCAUGUCAGUACUGAAGUUAAGUAUCUCUAGCAUGCUUGCAAUUGCAGAAAAUGUUUUUCCAGGAAUCACAAGAGGAAAUUCCCUAGAUGAGUGAUCCUUAUUUUCAGCAAUAGUAUCAUUUAGCUGCUUAUCUGCAAUGAAGGGAAACAAGCCUUUUUUUCGAAGAUUGGAAUCCAUGUUUGCCUGAGGAUGAAGUUAGGUGCAGAAAUGCAUGCCCAACCCCAGUGGAAUGCACAUUACAGCAACACAUCAGGAAGAAAAAAAGAUACUUUAGGGCCAUCACUGACUUAAGAUUAUUUAUCCGUGUUCUAGAAUGGCUCUCCUGCAAUAUUACUUUCCUGACAAGGACAAGAUUCUUCUUAAAAGAUACUCCUCUCCAUAGCAUAAGUGAGGAGCCCACUGAGAAAAGGUUGAAUGCAAGAAAAGGAAGUACUGGAAAGAUCAAAGAAACAGCACUACAAAACAUAGAAGACUGAAACCAUGACUGUUAAGGCUGGAGAAUCCUCAGAAGGAUCCUGAACUCCACCAUCUCAUGGUAACUACAGGCAAGGCAACCUUCGUCCUUCACACGCCCUUGUGUGUUCAGCCUUCACAUCCCCUUACAAGGUCCAGCAGCACACCUUAUUUGCAAACAAUGCCUGUAUCACCCCCAUUAAGCUGUAAUUUUCAGACCUCUGUGUGGUUCACAGGACUGCAUAGUGAAUACACGUUCAAUAGGAUAUCAAUUGACCAGAGAGAGAUGAAGUGCAUCUUCUGACUACUGUUGCUAGAGUCAUACUGAAAGGAGUUACUCUCUGGGGCUUUUAGUACUCUCUAUGUGAGAGCAGAAGAUCAUUAAUAUUUAAAAGUCACAC